CAGGGAUGAACAGAAGGACAGAGGGAUGGCUAGGAAAAGAGAUGACGAGAGGCCAGGUCCAGAGGGCUCGUCUGAGCUGCGAUGUGCGCAGGAAGGAGUGCCAGAGAAAGGCUCCCAGGACGCUGCCUGACUCCUUGAUGCUGUAUCUCCUGCCGCUGCUGUCACCGCUGGGAAGACUGAUUUCCAUGAGGGCUCCCUCUCUUGUCCUAGACCCGUCAUGACCUAUUUCUGGAGCCUUCUAAAAGUGCCAGGCCAUCCAGAGACCCAGGGUCAAAGAAUAAAAGCAUCUCUCUCUUA